GCAGUGGUGGUUCAGUGGUAGAAUUCUCGCUUUUUAUGUGGGAGACCUGGGUUCGAUUCUCGGCCAGUGCA